GCCUAACACAUGCAAGUCGAGGGGCAUCGGGAUUGAAGCUUGCUUCAAUUGCCGGCGACCGGCGCACGGGUGCGUAACGCGUAUGUAACCUACCUAUAACAGGGGCAUAACACUGAGAAAUUGGUACUAAUUCCCCAUAAUAUUCGGAGAGGCAUCUCUCCGGGUUGAAAACUCCGGUGGUUAUAGAUGGACAUGCGUUGUAUUAGCUAGUUGGUGAGGUAACGGCUCACCAAGGCAACGAUACAUAGGGGGACUGAGAGGUUAACCCCCCACACUGGUACUGAGACACGGACCAGACUCCUACGGGAGGCAGCAGUGAGGAAUAUUGGUCAAUGGACGCAAGUCUGAACCAGCCAUGCCGCGUGCAGGAAGACGGCUCUAUGAGUUGUAAACUGCUUUUGUACGAGGGUAAACUCACCUACGUGUAGGUGACUGAAAGUAUCGUACGAAUAAGGAUCGGCUAACUCCGUGCCAGCAGCCGCGGUAAUACGGAGGAUUCAAGCGUUAUCCGGAUUUAUUGGGUUUAAAGGGUGCGUAGGCGGUUUGAUAAGUUAGAGGUGAAAUCCCGGGGCUUAACUCCGGAACUGCCUCUAAUACUAUUAGACUAGAGAGUAGUUGCGGUAGGCGGAAUGUAUGGUGUAGCGGUGAAAUGCUUAGAGAUCAUACAGAACACCGAUUGCGAAGGCAGCUUACCAAA
rnacentral:rRNA from 1 species